rnacentral:rRNA from 1 species
AUUGAACGCUGGCGGCAGGCCUAACACAUGCAAGUCGAACGAGUGGCGGACGGGUGAGUAAUGUCUGGGAAACUGCCUGAUGGCGGGGGAUAACUACUGGAAACGGUAGCUAAUACCGCAUACCAUCGGAUGUGCCCAGAUGGGAUUAGCGAGUAGGUGGGGUAACGGCUCCUCUAGGCGACGAUCCCUAGCUGGUCUGAGAGGAUGACCAGCCACACUGGAACUGAGACACGGUCCAGACUCCUACGGGAGGCAGCAGUGGGGAAUAUUGCACAAUGGGCGCAAGCCUGAUGCAGCCAUGCCGCGUGUGUGAAGAAGGCCUUCGGGUUGUAAAGUACUUUCAGCGGGGAGGCGUUACCCGCAGAAGAAGCACCGGCUAACUCCGUGCCAGCAGCCGCGGUAAUAC